UUUCCGUAGGUGAACCUGCGGAAGGAUCAUUAAAAAAUUGGACUCCAUUGGUGAGUUCAUUAAUAAUCCCUACCCUUUGUGAAUUUGUUUGUUUGAAUAAUUUUUUUUCCAAAAAAAAUUAUUGAAUGUCUUUCCUUGUUUUGGUGGAGCUUGUAAAGUGAAACCAGGCAGGGGAAUGGCAAACAAUAAUUAUUUUUGAAAAAGACCUUUUUUUAAAAUUAAACUUUUUGUAUUCAUUUGUCUAAAAUUAAUUUUUAUAAUAUAAAAACAACUUUUGACAAUGGAUCUCUUGGUUCUCGCAACGAUGAAGAACGCAGCAAAAUGCGAUAAGUAGUGUGAAUUGCAGAAUACGUGAAUCAUCGAAUCUUCGAACGCAUAUUGCACUUUUUUAGUUUACUAAAAAAGUAUGUCUGUUUGAGUAUCAGUAAAAUAUUCUCAUAAAAAACAUUGUUUUUUUUAUGGUUAUGAGUGUUUUACAACGAUAACAAGUUGUUUCACUUUAAAUUCUUUGUUAUCAAAAAAAUCAUUAAAAGCUAAUUUUAAAGAUUUUUUAAAAUUGGAUAAAAUUUUCCCGUAAAAAGGAAUAACCUAAACAAUUUUAAAAAAUUAAAAUUGGUUUGAUUUUUUUUGAAACCCAAAGGAAAAAAAAACGAAAUUAACUUGAUCUCAAAUCAGAUAAGAGUACCCGCUGAACUUAAGCAUAUCAAUAAGCGGAGGAAAAGAAACUAACUAGGAUUCCCUCAGUAACGGCGAGUGAAGCGGGAAGAGCUCAAAUUUGAAAUCUUCAAGGUUUUACCUUGACGAAUUGUAGUUUAAAGAAGUGUUUUCUGUUGGAGUUUUGGUAAAAGUUCUUUGGAAAAGGACAUCAUAGGGGGUGAGAAUCCCGUAUUUGACCAUUAUCUCCAGCUUUGUGAUACACUUUCAAAGAGUCGGAUUGUUUGGGAAUGCAGUCCAAAAUGGGUGGUAAAUUUCAUCUAAAGCUAAAUACUGGCGAGAGACCGAUAGCGAACAAGUACCGUGAGGGAAAGAUGAAAAGAACUUUGAAAAGAGAGUUAAACAGUACGUGAAAUUGUCAAGAGGGAAGCGUUUGACACCAGUGUUGUUUUCUCGAAAAUCAAUUAAAAAAGGCCGGAUUUUGUGUUGUAUUGACUUUAUCAGCUUUCUGCACUCUUUUCUUGUCUUUUUUAAUGCACUUUUCGUUUAACAAGUCAACAUCAAUUUCUUUUGUUGUAAAAGGGUCAUUGGAAGGUGGCUUUCUUUUCGGAGAAAGUGUUUAUAGCCUUUGGCCUCUGCAAUCGGAGAGAUUGAGGUCUGCAGCGUAGGUCCUUCGGGGUUAGAUACAUUUGUGCUAAGUUAUAGCCUUUCAUAGACAACUUGUUGACUAUGAUCAGUCAUGUAGCUUACUCGCUUAUGCUAUUU
rnacentral:misc_RNA from 1 species